rnacentral:misc_RNA from 1 species
UAAUCUCAAUUCCUUCAGGCAUUUUUUGUACAAACAAGAAAAGGCCUGCUCAAGGUAAAUUGGAUUUGGAGGUUUUCAUGCAGGUUCCCCUUUUGUAGGGAAUCAGCUCCUCUUAAAAAUAUUAGCUGGAGGGAUAAUGCAAAAUGGCUUCUUAGCAUUGUUCAUUGGCUUAUGGUGUAAUAAUUGUUUCAUCAUGGCCAUCAGUGCAAAUGGCAAAUACAGCCUCCAAAGAGACCUUUGUAGCAUUUCUCUGCUUCUAAUUUGUCAGAUUUAUUUGACAACUUCAUGUAUUCU